UUGGAUGACUUGGAACGAACAUAGUUGAUCCUGGAAGUCUCAGCGGUAUUCGGGCCGUUGAGUGUCCGAAAAUAGUUCCAUACUGUCAGGAUUACUAGUUGAUCCAGCACUCAGAAAUCUGUCACACCUAGGACUAAGGGUAACGUCUAACCAGACCUUAGAAUGGCCGUAUUUAACGUACCUAAGAAUAGUCAAUAUACUAGCCGAGGUCAGGGACACAGCGAUAAGGGAAAGCCAAUAAUCAAUGAUUCCAGAAAUCAGGGAAGUCAAAACGAAGCCAAGGUCAAUAACCAGAAACACACGGUCAGAAACAUACUCUUGGAUAACCAUUGAAGGGAAACCACG